AACGAACGCUGGCGGCGUGGAUAAGACAUGCAAGUCGAGCGAAGUAUGAGGGGUAGCAAUAUUCCUUAUACUUAGCGGCGAAAGGGUGCGUAACACGUAGAUCAUCUGCCUCCAAGUGUGGGAUAGCCCGGCGAAAGCCGGAUUAAUACCGCAUGUGGUCGUGAGAUUAAAGCCGGGGACCGUAAGGCCUGGCGCUUGGAGAUGAGUCUGCGGCCUAUCAGC
rnacentral:rRNA from 1 species